rnacentral:lncRNA from 1 species
GAAUGUGGUAGGACAGAGUAAUGCUCAGCCAUUGAUGCCUGAAACCGGGGGGCUAGUUUCCCCCUAUGGGGGUGCGUAUUAUUGACAGGGAAUGGGGAACUCUAUGGGGGAGGGUCAGCUUGUAGUGUUAUCUAAGCAAGCGGACAGAGAACCAAUGCUUAAGGUUUUUAUUGAGGGCAAAGCAAUUGAUUUAAUGGUGGACACAGGAGCUACAUUCACAUGUGUAAGUCAUGCAGAUGCUCAACACCUCCCCCGGUCUAGUGUAGGAAAAGUGGCAAAGACAAUAGGGUUCUCAGGAAAAGUACAAAUAAUACCGUUUUCAGCUCCAGUGUUAAUUGAAGUGAGUGGGAGGAAAGUAAGGAUGCCAAUAUUGAUUUCAGAUCACACUCCUAUUAAUUUAUUAGGGCGAGACGUGUUGUGUCGCAUGGGAGUCCAAAUUGAGUGUACCCCAGAUGGACUUUCUUUGACUGAUCAGACACCACACCCCACCAUGAUUCUCCAAACACUUGCCACAUCACAAAACAAACAGGUUUAUUGGAUAAAUUUACGGGAAAUGGGGUGGAAGAACAAACUUUUUAGUGAAUGGGGAACUUUGAUGCGUGACAGAUAUCCUGCUCUAAGGGAACCCCGGUGUCCGCCACAUUGUACUGUGAUGUUAUGUGAAGCUUCAUGUACAAGUGAAUGUGAGGAGAAGGAUGCAAAAUGGAGAGAAGCGCUGCAGGAGAGGAAGCAGAUUAAGUUACACGCUCAGUGUGUGGUCUUAGGGCCUGAGGGAGUUGGAGUGCAGGUGAAAUUUCGCGACGGAAAGGUUUAUGAAGCUUAUGAUGUGCCUAACUCAAUCCCACAUAUAACACUUAAGGUGGGUCUGGGGUUCAGAGCAAGAGACAUGGGUAAGAUGAUGAAAAGAGCCAGAGCCAGUGUAUGGGUGUCCUCAGAAGACUCAGACAGGACAGGAGUGAGAGUGUCAGAGGAUAAUACAAUGUUUCAGAUAAGGCACUCAGCAUGGUUGACAGGGGAACCUCAGAUAGUGGAACUGAGUGAUGAGGAGGAGUACACAGUAGCCUGUCCCUUUGGAAAUCCAUACUGUUUGUAUGGUCAGUACGGGGGAGUGGGACACAGAUGUUGG